GAAGAUUUAGCUCAGUGAUAAGAGCUUAGUCUUUUAAUUUAAACUUAAGGUUUUGAAUUCUAAAUCUUUU
rnacentral:tRNA from 1 species